rnacentral:rRNA from 1 species
UACAGGGGGUGCAAACGUUGCUCGGAAUUACUGGGCGUAAAGCGUAUGCAGGCGGAUCGUUAAGUCGGGGGUGAAAUCCCGAGGCUCAACCUCGGAACUGCCUUCGAUACUGGCGACCUUCGAGUCCGGGAGAGGUGAGUGGAACUCCGAGUGUAGAGGUGAAAUUCGUAGAUAUUCGGAAGAACACCAGUGGCGAAGGCGGCUCACUGGCCCGGUACUGACGCUGAGAUACGAAAGCGUGGGGAGCAAACAGG